AUUUUUUUCUUUCUCCAAAAUUGUUGAAUUCAGAUGCAGAACCCUUCCUCAGUUUGAUGGUGUUUUGAGAAACAGAGUUCUGCAACAAAAAGAAUUACCCUUUCUACAGAAGAGCUUUUAUAUAGGCAGCCAUUUAAACACUGAAGUGACGACUUGUUCCACAAGUAUUCUUUGAACUGCCUUCAUCUAAACCACAGAACAAACCACAUUCUUCUUCAGAAAUGCUGAACAUUAUCAGAUGGGUCUACUGCCUUCUGAAGAAAGAGGAAAUGAAACAGCCUCCCGUCCAACAUUCUCUGAGAGAAGAAAAACGACAAGAAAAAUUCCCAGUGAUGGAUAUAAUCAUCCAUACCAUUAAACAAGAUCAAGAUGCCUGCAUCAGAAGUCUCCUUAAGCGAAGGUCCGCAUCUGCAGAGAAGAGUGCCAUUGUGGGCUUCAUCUGUACAGCCCCUCCACACUGAUGCCAAACAU